ACUGGAAAGUUCGGCUUCCCUCGGCCACACUCGGCCUCCAGCCCCGCCUCUCGGCCCGCCUUUUCCUACCGGCGCUGCGUCGGUGGGCGCGCCGCGGGCUCUAAAAGCUCGACUGUCGGCCGGGCGCUGUGGCGCAAGCCUGUAAUCCCAGCACUUUGGGAGGGCAAGGUGGGUGGAUCAAAGUUCGCGACCAGCCUGACCAACAUGGUGAAACUCCGUCUCUACUAAAUUAGCCAGGCGUAGUGGCUCAUGCCUAUAAUCCGAGCUACUUGGGAGGCUGAGACAGGAGACUCGCUUGUACCCGGGAGGCGGAGGUUGCAGUGAGCCAAGAUUGCGCCAUUGCACUCCAGCCUCGGCAACAAGAGCGAAACUCCGUCUCAAAAAAAAAAAAAAAAAAGCUCUAUUGUGGGCCUGCGACCUUCACGCGCCAGCGCUGGAGAGGUGCCAGGCUCCCUGGGGCCGAGACCGGGGCAGAGGACGACACUUCGUCUGGCCGCCUAGCCUCGGCCUCUAAGCUUCCUGCAUCUUCUUCAUCGUAGGUGAUGCUGGACGUGACAGAGGAGGUGACAGGUCACCCUGAGUGCGGGACUCCGUGUCCAGAAGGAAGUGGGCCUCCAGGUGCCACGCCUUUGCUUCUGCUGUGGCAUCUGAUGAGUUCCCUGUUCAUCUCUCCAGGCAUUCCCAGGGCAGUCAACCCUGAUGCCCAGGGGCUAGGCUUGCAAGACCGCGCAUUAGGUUCGCAGAGCCGGAGUGCAAGGCCAGACCUGGUACCAACAGCAUCUCCGCCUUCGUCCUCAUCUGGUUCCCGCCUCAAACCUGUACCUGUGCGGAGGAGCCUGGAAGGCCACUUCUCUCUCAUCUUUGUAAGCAAGCCUGGAUAAUUCAACUUGAGAUAAACAUGGGCUGCUUUAAAGCUUUACAGCACUUGCAUUUUUAGUUCUUCUGAAACAGAGCCAGAUAUCUCUCAAAGUCAGAUCACAGACACCACUGCAUGCAUCAUGGAACCUGGACUGUUCUGGUCAGAUCAAUAAUCUGGACAUUAUAAUUUUUUCAUUUUUUUUGUAGAGACGGGGGUCUCACUUUGUUGCCCAGGCUGGUCUGGAACUCCUGGGCUCAAGUGAUCAGCCUGCCUGGGCCUCCCAAAGUGCUGGGAUUACAGGCUUGAGCCACUGCACCUAAUUCUUUCAUUUUAAUUAGAGUGUUUAUCUCUUCCAAAAGGUGGUUUUAAAAUUUCACAUGUGGUUCUCUCCUUAUUUUCAGUUGAGAAGAAGCAAAAAAAAAAAAAAAAAAAAUUAGAAAGUAAAACGAUUGGCAGGAGCUUUGGAUAUUUUUACUUAUCCCAUUGUGCAACACAUUCAGUGACAAUACAGGUUUAUGAAGUUGUUCAGAUGGUUUGUCUAUGAGCAUGUCUGUUCCUACAGUUCUCCAGAACAUGAGAGCCCUUCAUGCCUAAUCUUGGCUUCCUGCUGAUAGACUUUUAAAGGGGUGUGAGUUGGCCAGCCAUGGACCUGGGUACGCUUCCAGUGGCCACAGGAGAUGUGAACACAAUGCUGAGAACAAUAGAAAUGUAAGCAAAGUACCAUGUAUGCUUGGUGAACAAUCAGAAGUAUGAAAUAGGAGAAACCAAACCUGCCUGAUUGAUAAGAAUGGGGGGCCGGGUGCAGCAGCUCAUGCUUGUAAUCCCAGCACUUUGGGAGGCUGAGGCAGGCGGAUCAUGAGGUCAGGAGUUCAAGACCAGCCUGACCAAUAUGGUGAAACCCUGUCUCUACUGAAAA